rnacentral:misc_RNA from 1 species
CCUACGGGGGGCAGCAGUAGGGAAUUUUCCACAAUGGGCGAAAGCCUGAUGGAGCAACGCCGCGUGCAGGAUGAAGGCCUUCGGGUUGUAAACUGCUUUUGUUUGUGACGAUUAUGACGGUAACAAGCGAAUAAGGGUCUGCUAACUACGUGCCAGCAGCCGCGGUCAUACGUGGGACCCAAGCGUUAUCCGGAAUUACUGGGCGUAAAGAGUUGCGUAGGUGGCAGAGUAAGUAGGUAGUGAAAUUGUGUGGCUCAACCAUACACCCAUUAUCUAAACUGCUCAGCUAGAGCAUGAGAGAGGUAACUGGAAUUUCUAGUGUAGGAGUGAAAUCCGUAGAUAUUAGAAGGAACACCGAUGGCGUAGGCAGGUUACUGGCUCAUUGCUGACACUAAGGCACGAAAGCGUGGGGAGCGAACUGGAUUAGAUACCCCGGUAGUC